GGUUAAGCGACUAAGCGUACACGGUGGAUGCCCUGGCAGUCAGAGGCGAUGAAGGACGUGCUAAUCUGCGAAAAGCGCCGGCGAGGUGAUAUGAACCCUUGACCCGGCGAUGUCCGAAUGGGGAAACCCAGUGCAAUCCGUUGCACUAUCGUUAACUGAAUACAUAGGUUAACGAGGCGAACCGGGGGAACUGAAACAUCUAAGUACCCCGAGGAAAAGAAAUCAACCGAGAUUCCCCCAGUAGCGGCGAGCGAACGGGGAGCAGCCCGGAGUCUGAAUCAGCUUGUGUGUUAGUGGAACGGUCUGGAAAGUCCGACGGUACAGGGUGAUAGUCCCGUACACGAAAGCACACAUGCUGUGAACUCGAAGAGUAGGGCGGGACACGUGGUAUCCUGUCUGAAUAUGGGGGGACCAUCCUCCAAGGCUAAAUACUCCUGACUGACCGAUAGUGAACCAGUACCGUG
rnacentral:rRNA from 1 species